UACGUAGGGGGCAAGCGUUGUCCGGAUUUAUUGGGCGUAAAGAGCGUGUAGGCGGUUAUACAGGUCCGCUGUGAAAACUGGAGGCUUAACCUCCAGACGUCGGUGGAAACCGUAUAACUAGAGUCCGGAAGAGGAAAGCGGAAUUCCUGGUGUAGCGGUGAAAUGCGUAGAUAUCAGGAGGAACACCUGCGGUGUAGACGGCUUUCUGGACCAUUGCUGACGCUGAGACACGAAAGCGUGGGUAGCAAACAGG
rnacentral:rRNA from 1 species